UAACAUGCUCCACAUUCUCUCACUCCAAAUUGUUUCUCUUCUUAGCUUUGAUCCCCACCUCACACACAGGCUACCUAGUCACCCUGCCUUCUCCAUUAGCAUUCAAGUUCCCUCACAGCAGGGCAUUUAUUGUCGGUUUGGAGUGUUUCUUGGUGAAUUCUCAGCGGCUGGAAUGGUACCCGUCACAUAAUAGAUGCUCAGUAAAAGUUUACUAACUCUUUCCAGGAGUCCACGGUUUUCUAUCUGGAAACAGCCAUCACCACACCCACGGCUUCAAGCUGGAGAAAAUGCCCCUGAAUCAUCCCAAUAUGUGAAGAGUCGGUAGAGCAGCAUGCAUACUGCGAAGGAGGCGAGCAUCUGCCAAGGUGGAGAGAGCGUCAGGUUUGAAUUAUCUGAAAAUGAGAAAGCUAAUCACUACGAAGUGAAGGAGAAGGGAGUGUCACCAUGUCACAGAGGACAGCAUCGUCAUCCAAAGAUCACGUGACUUCUGGGUGCUCACAGCGGUCAUGGUCGUGGAAAAUCACAAACCUUGAUGACUUCCAGGUCUGACUGUCUGUGGCUUCUCUGAGGCUCGCCCACCCCUCCCCCAC